rnacentral:piRNA from 1 species
UGUGAAAGAAUUACACUCCCCGCCCC